GUUGAGUCGUAGCUACAGGCGACGACGGGUAGCCGGCCUGAGAGGGCGACCGGCCACACUGGGACUGAGAUACGGCCCAGACUCCUACGGGAGGCAGCAGUGGGGAAUAUUGCACAAUGGGCGCAAGCCUGAUGCAGCGACGCCGCGUGAGGGAUGACGGCCUUCGGGUUGUAAACCUCUUUCAGCAGGGAAGAAGCCAAAGUGACGGUACCUGCAGAAGAAGCGCCGGCUAACUACGUGCCAGCAGCCGCGGUAAUACGUAGGGCGCAAGCGUUGUCCGGAAUUAUUGGGCGUAAAGAGCUCGUAGGCGGUUUGUCGCGUCUGCUGUGAAAACCUGAGGCUCAACCUCGGGCUUGCAGUGGGUACGGGCAGACUAGAGUGCGGUAGGGGUGACUGGAAUUCCUGGUGUAGCGGUGGAAUGCGCAGAUAUCAGGAGGAACACCGAUGGCGAAGGCAGGUCACUGGGCCGCAACUGACGCUGAGGAGCGAAAGCAUGGGGAGCGAACAGGAUUAGAUACCCUGGUAGUCCAUGCCGUAAACGUUGGGCACUAGGUGUGGGGCUCAUUCCACGAGUUCCGUGCCGCAGCAAACGCAUUAAGUGCCCCGCCUGGGGAGUACGGCCGCAAGGCUAAAACUCAAAGAAAUUGACGGGGGCCCGCACAAGCGGCGGAGCAUGCGGAUUAAUUCGAUGCAACGCGAAGAACCUUACCAAGGCUUGACAUACACCGGAAAAGUGCAGAGAUGUGCUCCCCGCAAGGGUCGGUGUACAGGUGGUGCAUGGUUGUCGUCAGCUCGUGUCGUGAGAUGUUGGGUUAAGUCCCGCAACGAGCGCAACCCUCGUCCUAUGUUGCCAGCGGGUCAUGCCGGGGACUCAUAGGAGACUGCCGGGGUCAACUCGGGAGGAAGGUGGGGGAUGACGUCAAAUCAUCAUGCCCCUUAUGUCUUGGGCUUCACGCAUGGCUACAAUGGGCCGGGUACAAGGGCUGCGAUACCGGCGAGGUGGAGCGGAAUCCGAAAAAGGCCGGUCUCAGUUCCGGAUUGGGGGUCUGCAACUCGAACCCCAUGAAAGUCCGGAGUCGCCUAAGUA
rnacentral:rRNA from 1 species